GACGAACGCUGGCGGCGUGCUUAACACAUGCAAGUCGAACGGCAAGGCCCUGCUUUUGUGGGGUGCUCGAGUGGCGAACGGGUGAGUAACACGUGAGUAACCUGCCCUUGACUUUGGGAUAACUUCAGGAAACUGGGGCUAAUACCGGAUAGGAGCUCCUGCUGCAUGGUGGGGGUUGGAACGUUUCGGCGGUUGGGGAUGGACUCGCGGCUUAUCAGCUUGUUGGUGGGGUAGUGGCUUACCAAGGCUUUGACGGGUAGCCGGCCUGAGAGGGUGACCGGCCACAUUGGGACUGAGAUACGGCCCAGACUCCUACGGGAGGCAGCAGUGGGGAAUAUGGCACAAUGGGCGGAAGCCUGAUGCAGCAACGCCGCGUGCGGGAUGACGGCCUUCGGGUUGUAAACCGCUUUCGCCUGUGACGAAGCGUGAGUGACGGUAAUGGGGAAAGAAGCACCGGCUAACUACGU
rnacentral:rRNA from 1 species